CUCCAGAUCUUCUUGAGGGAAUUGAUUCAAAAUGCAUCUGAUGCUCUAGACAAAAUACGACUGCUUUCACUAACUGAUGAAAAAGCUCUUCUGGUAAUGAAGAACUCACAAUAAAAAUCAAGUGUGAUAAAGAGAAGAAUAUGCUUCAUGUUACAGACACUGGCAUUGGCAUGACUAAAGAAGAACUAAUAAAAAACCUGGGUACCAUUGCCAAGUCUGGUACAAGUGAAUUUCUAAGUAAGAUAACUGAGAUGCAGGAAGAGAACCAGUCAACUUCUGAGUUGAUUGGUCAGUUUGGUGUUGGCUUCUACUCAGCUUUCCUUGUGGCAGACAGGGUGAUUGUCACAUCAAA